AGACGGAGGGUCCUAGCGUUGUUCGGAAUGACUGGGCGUAAAGGGUACGUAGGCGGUUUGGUCAGUUAGAUGUGAAAGCCCAGGGCUCAACCUUGGAACUGCAUUUAAUACUGCCAAACUUGAGAUCGGAAGAGGAAAGCGGAAUUUCUAGUGUAGAGGUGAAAUUCGUAGAUAUUAGAAGGAACAUCAGAGGCGAAGGCGGCUUUCUGGUCCGAUACUGACGCUGCGGUACGAAAGCGUGGGGAGCAAACAGGAUUAGAUACCCCAGUAGUCC
rnacentral:rRNA from 1 species